rnacentral:rRNA from 1 species
AACGAACGCUGGCGGCAGGCUUAACACAUGCAAGUCGAACGCACCGCAAGGUGAGUGGCAGACGGGUGAGUAACACGUGGGGAUCUGCCCAAUGGUACGGAAUAAUUCCGGGAAACUGGGACUAAUACCGUAUGAGCCCGCAAGGGGAAAGAUUUAUCGCCAUUGGAUGGACCCGCGUCGGAUUAGCUAGUUGGUGUGGUAAAGGCGCACCAAGGCGACGAUCCGUAGCUGGUCUGAGAGGAUGAUCAGCCACACUGGGACUGAGACACGGCCCAGACUCCUACGGGAGGCAGCAGUGGGGAAUAUUGGACAAUGGGCGCAAGCCUGAUCCAGCCAUGCCGCGUGAGUGAUGAAGGCCUUAGGGUUGUAAAGCUCUUUCGCCGACGAAGAUAAUGACGGUAGUCGGAGAAGAAGCCCCGGCUAACUUCGUGCCAGCCGCCGCGGUAAGAC